CCUACGGGAGGCAGCAGUGGGGGAUAUUGCACAAUGGGGGAAACCCUGAUGCAGCGACGCCGCGUGAGUGAAGAAGUAUUUCGGUAUGUAAAGCUCUAUCAGCAGGGAAGAAAAUGACAGUACCUGACCAAGAAGCCCCGGCUAACUACGUGCCAGCAGCCGCGGUAAUACGUAGGGGGCAAGCGUUAUCCGGAUUUACUGGGUGUAAAGGGAGCGUAGACGGCUGUGUAAGUCUGGAGUGAAAGCCCGGGGCCCAACCCCGGGACUGCUUUGGAAACUGUGAAACUGGAGUGCAGGAGGGGCAGGCGGAAUUGCUGGUGUAGCGGUGAAAUGCGUAGAUAUCAGGAGGAACACCGGCGGCGAAGGCGGCCUGCUGGACUGAAACUGACGUUGAGGCUCGAAGGCGUGGGGAGCAAACAGGAUUAGAUACCCGGGUAGUC
rnacentral:rRNA from 1 species